rnacentral:tRNA from 2 species
GCGGCGGUAGCUCAACGGUAGAGCCUCAGCCUUCCAAGCUGAUGACGCGGGUUCGAUUCCCGUCCGCCGCU